AAGUGGUGGGAAAUGUGACAUUUGUGUGGGACGUCAGGGGUUCGAAUCACUCCCCACGUAAAUAUUAAAAUGUCUUGAUUUGAGCCUUGGGGCCUUGGGCUCUUAGGCUUCCUUGACUAAAAUAAAUAUUUUUUUCUUCAUUAUUUAAUAGGUAAAACUAGCCAGUAUUUUAUGACUGUUUGUUUUUGUAACAACCCACUAACUGCCAUUAAAACACCCACUACUCAGUCAUUAAAAUUCUGCAUUAACAUGGUGAAAACUGUUACUACCAUCUUGCCUAUAUAAACCCAUAUCUUACUUUGGGAAAAGACACACAAAUAGAAAAUAGAAUCAAUCACUCUUUUCAUAUUGUGAAUUUCUUAUAUUCGGGUUUUUAUACCUAUUCUGGAGUACAAUUGAGAGUUCUAGAAAAACCAUUCGUGAUUGCUGCAUAAGUGGUUUACGAUCGUUGUAUCCUGGGAGUGAUUGUCCACGGAAGUCACAGCAAUUAUUGACGGACAAUUUCACUUUAGGACAUCGUGUUGUCACGAGAUUCGAUCGGACGAUAAGUUUUAUAUUUCUGCAUUAUAUUGUUCUGAUCACUGCUGCAACUAAUUAUUUUUCUAACACUAGAUUCUUGUAGAUGAUAGUUCUAAAUGUAUUGAUUAUUGUAUUCUGUUUUCUCAGACAAUUUUUGAUAUCUAUUUGUACUUGAUCAAUCCUUUGAUAAUACUUAACGUUUGCAAUUUUUAUAAGAACAUCAAACUUAGAGACUUUCGUAAUUCAGUUGAAUCUCCAUUUUUGUUGAUGGAUUCUCCUCGAUUUUAAAUUUUAUUCUUGUGAUUAUAAAGAAAUUGUGUAUAGGUAGGUGCCCUGGAAAGUCCCUGUAAAUAGAUUCUUUCUUUUUUGGACAACUCUUCUGUGUAUGAAUACAUUGUUCACAUUCGAUUUGUAAAAAAAGGUGAAGAUCAUAUAGGUUGAAUUCUUGAAUUGUGUUGUAUUUUACCUAGGAAGUUAUUUUGGAAAGUUUUAAUUCUGAGGAGAGUCAAGCUCGUUAUAGAUUACCACUACACACAAAAAGUAGAGAAUGGAGAGUAGAUUACAUUUUUAGCUCAAUUGUCCGCCCCGCCCUGCACCAACCAAUUUUUCUACGUUACUGGUAAGAGUUCUAUCUGCACAUCAAGACUGAAGAAGUAAGCUUAGUUUAAAUUAGAAUUUGAUGCAUGAAAAGUAUAUCAUAAGGGCAACUAUUGUAAUAAGUACUAAAACUUAUGAGAAAUACACAAUGGGAAUAAUAUUA
rnacentral:lncRNA from 1 species